rnacentral:rRNA from 1 species
AACGAACGCUGGCGGCAUGCCUAACACAUGCAAGUCGAACGAGACCUUCGGGUCUAGUGGCGCACGGGUGCGUAACGCGUGGGAACCUGCCCUUAGGUUCGGUAUAACUCCCCGAAAGGGGUGCUAAUGCCGGAUAAUGUAUUCGGGCCAAAGAUUUGUCGCCUUUGGAUGGGCUCGCGUUGGAUUAGCUUGUUGGUAGGGUAGAGGCCUACCAAGGCGACGAUCGGUAGCUGGUCUGUGAGGAUGAUCGGCACCACUGGGACUGAGAUACGGCCCAGACUCCAACGGGAGGCAGCAGUGGGGAAUGUUGCACUAUGGGCGGAAGCCUGAUGCAGCAACGCCGCGUGCGGGAUGACGGCAUGCGGGUUGUAUUCCGAUUUCGCCUGUGACGAAGCGUGAGUGACGGUAAUGGGUAAAGAAGCACCGGCUAACUACGUG